rnacentral:lncRNA from 1 species
AGCCGAACCACCGGAAGAUAGCCGAACCACCGGAAGGCAGCCGAACCACCGGAAGAUAGCCGAACCACCGGAAGGCAGCCGAAUCACCGGAAGAUAGCCAAACCACCGGAAGGCCCACCCCAGAGUAGCCAACGACUCACAAAAACUCUCAGGAGCAACCUGUUGAUGGAAAGGAGGCGCCAGCGUUACCGGGAGAUCUAUCUGAUGGUGAAACUGCCAUGGGUCCAAGGAUCACUCAGGCUUGCCCUUGGUCACCGCGGAGAUAUGAAACCUCCAAGGGAUGAUCCAAUGAACCUCCCACCCCUGAUGCA